CAAUAGCGUAUAUUAAAGUUGUUGCAGUUAAAAAGCUCGUAGUUGAAUUUUUGCUUGCCGCCGAUGUCGGAACUUCCGUACGUUCGGCGGCGUGCAUCCUUGGGUGGAACCUGUGUGGCAUUAGGUUGUCGUGCAGGGGAUGCUCAUCGUUUACUGUGAAAAAAUUAGAGUGCUCAAAGCAGGCUUACGCCGUUGAAUAUAUUAGCAUGGAAUAAUAAGAUAGGACCUUGGUACUAUUUUGUUGGUUUGCGCACCGAGGUAAUGAUUAACAGGGACAGUUGGGGGUAUUCGUAUUCCAUUGUCAGAGGUGAAAUUCUUGGAUUUCUGGAAGACGAACUACUGCGAAAGCAUUUACCAAGGAUGGUUUCAUUAA
rnacentral:rRNA from 1 species